GACGUAGGGGGCGAGCGUUGUCCGGAUUUAUUGGGCGUAAAGAGCGCGUAGGCGGCCCGGAAAGUCGGAUGUGAAAACCCGGGGCUCAACCCCGGGCCUGCAUCCGAUACUCCCGGGCUGGAGGCAGGUAGGGGAGAUCGGAAUUCCUGGUGUAGCGGGUGGAAAUGCGCAGAUAUCAGGAGGAACACCGGUGGCGAAGGCGGAUCUCUGGGCCUGUCCUGACGCUGAGGCGCGAAAGCUAGGGGGAGCGAACAGG
rnacentral:rRNA from 1 species